rnacentral:misc_RNA from 1 species
CGAUCUUACAGCACAAGACAUUGCUA